UACGUAGGUCUCGAGCGUUGUUCGGAUUUACUGGGCGUAAAGGGCGCGUAGGCGGCUUGGCGUGUCGAGUGUGAAAUCUCCGGGCUCAACCCGGAAAGUGCGCUCGAAACUGCCAGGCUCGAGUGCGGGAGAGGGAAUCGGAAUAUAGGGUGUAGCGGUGAAAUGCGUUGAUAUCCUAUAGAACACCGGAUGCGAAGGCGGAUUCCUGGAACGCAACUGACGCUGAGGCGCGAAAGUCGGGGGAGCAAAC
rnacentral:rRNA from 1 species